rnacentral:rRNA from 1 species
GUUGGGUAGGGGAGCGUUCUGUAAGCCUGCGAAGGUGGCCUGUGAGGGUUGCUGGAGGUAUCAGAAGUGCGAAUGCUGACAUAAGUAACGAUAAAGCGGGUGAAAAGCCCGCUCGCCGGAAGACCAAGGGUUCCUGUCCAACGUUAAUCGGGGCAGGGUGAGUCGACCCCUAAGGCGAGGCCGAAAGGCGUAGUCGAUGGGAAACGGGUUAAUAUUCCCGUACUUGGUGUUACUGCGAAGGGGGGACGGAGAAGGCUAUGUUGGCCGGGCGACGGUUGUCCCGGUUUAAGCGUGUAGGUGUGUGUUCCAGGUAAAUCCGGUUCACUUUAACACUGAGGCGUGACGACGAGGCACUACGGUGCUGAAGCAACAAAUGCCCUGCUUCCAGGAAAAGCCUCUAAGCAUCAGGUAACAUCAAAUCGUACCCCAAACCGACACAGGUGGUCAGGUAGAGAAUACCAAGGCGCUUGAGAGAACUCGGGUGAAGGAACUAGGCAAAAUGGUGCCGUAACUUCGGGAGAAGGCACGCUGACACGUAGGUGAAGUGAUUUACUCAUGGAGCUGAAGUCAGUCGAAGAUACCAGCUGGCUGCAACUGUUUAUUAAAAACACAGCACUGUGCAAACACGAAAGUGGACGUAUACGGUGUGACGCCUGCCCGGUGCCGGAAGGUUAAUUGAUGGGGUCAGCGCAAGCGAAGCUCCUGAUCGAAGCCCCGGUAAACGGCGGCCGUAACUAUAACGGUCCUAAGGUAGCGAAAUUCCUUGUCGGGUAAGUUCCGACCUGCACGAAUGGCGUAAUGAUGGCCAGGCUGUCUCCACCCGAGACUCAGUGAAAUUGAACUCGCUGUGAAGAUGCAGUGUACCCGCGGCAAGACGGAAAGACCCCGUGAACCUUUACUAUAGCUUGACACUGAACAUUGAGCCUUGAUGUGUAGGAUAGGUGGGAGGCUUUGAAGUGUGGACGCCAGUCUGCAUGGAGCCGACCUUGAAAUACCACCCUUUAAUGUUUGAUGUUCUAACGUGGACCCGUUACCCGGGUUGCGGACAGUGUCUGGUGGGUAGUUUGACUGGGGCGGUCUCCUCCUAAAGAGUAACGGAGGAGCACGAAGGUUGGCUAAUCCUGGUCGGACAUCAGGAGGUUAGUGCAAUGGCAUAAGCCAGCUUGACUGCGAGCGUGACGGCGCGAGCAGGUGCGAAAGCAGGUCAUAGUGAUCCGGUGGUUCUGAAUGGAAGGGCCAUCGCUCAACGGAUAAAAGGUACUCCGGGGAUAACAGGCUGAUACCGCCCAAGAGUUCAUAUCGACGGCGGUGUUUGGCACCUCGAUGUCGGCUCAUCACAUCCUGGGGCUGAAGUAGGUCCCAAGGGUAUGGCUGUUCGCCAUUUAAAGUGGUACGCGAGCUGGGUUUAGAACGUCGUGAGACAGUUCGGUCCCUAUCUGCCGUGGGCGCUGGAGAACUGAGGGGGGCUGCUCCUAGUACGAGAGGACCGGAGUGGACGCAUCACUGGUGUUCGGGUUGUCAUGCCAAUGGCACUGCCCGGUAGCUAAAUGCGGAAGAGAUAAGUGCUGAAAGCAUCUAAGCACGAAACUUGCCCCGAGAUGAGUUCUCCCUGAGACUUAAAGUCUCCUGAAGGAACGUUGAAGACGACGACGUUGAUAGGCCGGGUGUGUAAGCGCAGCGAUGCGUUGAGCUAACCGGUACUAAUGAACCGUGAGGCUU